rnacentral:ncRNA from 1 species
UUACAUGCGAAGAAGAGGACAAGUAGAUCCAGGGAAAUCUGAACAGAGAGCUGCUGGCCGGUGCGAAGCAGUCAGUAUCCGGAUUCGAAACAUCGCCUCCGAGCAGGUCUGACGAAACUUACAGUAGGCAGACCCGGGAUCCUGCCGUUACAAAGGAGCAUCAUUGAUGGAUGAUGACAGAGAGGGUGUAUCGUUUGUACACCAAUCAGGGUGGUAACGCGGAGCAGCUCCGUCCCUAGC